rnacentral:rRNA from 1 species
AAAAGUGAAAGACGGUCUUGCUGUCACUUAUAGAUGGAUCCGCGCUGCAUUAGCUAGUUGGUAAGGUAACGGCUUACCAAGGCAACGAUGCAUAGCCGACCUGAGAGGGUGAUCGGCCACACUGGAACUGAGACACGGUCCAGACUCCUACGGGAGGCAGCAGUAGGGAAUCUUCCGCAAUGGGCGAAAGCCUGACGGAGCAACGCCGCGUGAGUGAUGAAGGUCUUCGGAUCGUAAAACUCUGUUAUUAGGGAAGAACAUAUGUGUAAGUAACUGUGCACAUCUUGACGGUACCUAAUCAGAAAGCCACGGCUAACUACGUGCCAGCAGCCGCGGUAAUACGUAGGUGGCAAGCGUUAUCCGGAAUUAUUGGGCGUAAAGCGCGCGUAGGCGGUUUUUUAAGUCUGAUGUGAAAGCCCACGGCUCAACCGUGGAGGGUCAUUGGAAACUGGAAAACUUGAGUGCAGAAGAGGAAAGUGGAAUUCCAUGUGUAGCGGUGAAAUGCGCAGAGAUAUGGAGGAACACCAGUGGCGAAGGCGACUUUCUGGUCUGUAACUGACGCUGAUGUGCGAAAGCGUGGGGAU